rnacentral:rRNA from 1 species
ACUACGGGUGGCUGCAGUGAGGAAUAUUGGACAAUGGUCGGAAGACUGAUCCAGCCAUGCCGCGUGCAGGAAGACGGCCUUAUGGGUUGUAAACUGCUUUUGCAGGGGAAGAAUAAGGACUACGAGUAGUUUGAUGACGGUACUCUGCGAAUAAGCAUCGGCUAACUCCGUGCCAGCAGCCGCGGUAAUACGGAGGAUGCGAGCGUUAUCCGGAAUCAUUGGGUUUAAAGGGUCCGUAGGCGGGCUAAUAAGUCAGAGGUGAAAGCGCUCAGCUCAACUGAGCAACUGCCUUUGAAACUGUUAGUCUUGAAUGGUUGUGAAGUAAUUGGAAUGUGUAGUGUGGCGGUGAAAUGCUUAGAUAUUACACAGAACACCGAUAGCGAAGGCAUAUUACUAACAAUUAAUUGACGCUGAUGGACGAAAGCGUGGGGAGCGAACAGGAUUAGAUACCCGGGUAGUC